GGAAUUUUGGACAAUGGGCGAAAGCCUGAUCCAGCAAUGCCGCGUGCAGGAUGAAGGCCCUCGGGUUGUAAACUGCUUUUGUACGGAACGAAAAGCCUGAGGCUAAUAACCUCCGGUCAUGUCGGUAUCGUAAGAAUAAGCACCGGCUAACUACUUGCCAGCAGCCGCGGUAAUACGUAGGGUGCAAGCGUUAAUCGGAAUUACUGGGCGUAAAGCGUGCGCAGGCGGUUUUGUAAGACAGUGGUGAAAUCCCCGGGCUCAACCUGGGAACUGCCAUUGUGACUGCAAGGCUGGGGUGCAGCAGAGGGGGAUGGAAUUCCGCGUGUAGCAGUGAAAUGCGUAGAUAUGCGGAGGAACACCGAUGGCGAAGGCAAUCCCCUGGGCCUGCACUGACGCUCAUGCACGAAAGCGUGGGGAGC
rnacentral:rRNA from 1 species